rnacentral:misc_RNA from 1 species
AACCAUAGAAACCUGCGGAGUACCUGCGGAGGGAUCAUUACCGAGUUUACAACUCCCAAACCCCUGUGAACAUACCACUUGUUGCCUCGGCGGAUCAGCCCGCUCCCGGUAAAACGGGACGGCCCGCCAGAGGACCCCUAAACUCUGUUUCUAUAUGUAACUUCUGAGUAAAACCAUAAAUAAAUCAAAACUUUCAGCAACGGAUCU